CCGUCUAUAUACGUAUAGCAUAUCAAUAAGCGGAGGAAAAGAAACUAACAAGGAUUCCCUUAGUAACGGCGAGUGAAGCGGGAAGAGCUCAAAUUUGAAAUCUUCAAGGUUCUACCUUGACGAAUUGUAGUUUAUAGAAGUGUUUUCUGUUAGUAGGAGUGGCAAAAGUUCUUUGGAAUAGGACAUCAUAGAGGGUGAGAAUCCCGUAUUUGGUCAUUCUUUCUAGCUUUGUGAUACACUUUCAACGAGUCGGAUUGUUUGGGAAUGCAGUCCAAAAUGGGUGGUAAAUUUCAUCUAAAGCUAAAUAUUGGCGAGAGACCGAUAGCGAACAAGUACCGUGAGGGAAAGAUGAAAAGAACUUUGAAAAGAGAGUUAAACAGUACGUGAAAUUGUCAAAAGGGAAGCGUUUGACACCAGUGUUGUUUUUCCGAAAAUCAAUUACGAAUGUUUUGUUUUUGAAGGAAGUUAUGACUUCAUCGGCUUGCUUCCUUUCUUUACUGAAACUUUCUUAAUGCACUUUUCGGUUAACAAGUCAACAUCAAUUUCUUUUGUUGUAAAAGGGUAUGAGGAAGGUGGCUUUCUUUUCGGAGAAAGUGUUUAUAGCCUUGUGCCUCUGCAAUCGGAGAGAUUGAGGUCUGCAGCGUAGAUCCUUCGGGGUUAGAUACAUUUGUGCUAAGUUAUAGCCUUUUCAUAGACAACAUUGUUGACUAUGAUCAUCAUGUAGCUUACUCGCUUAUGUCAUUUUACCUACGCUUAGGAUGUUGAUAUGCAUGACUGAUAU
rnacentral:rRNA from 1 species